GACGUAGGGCGCGAGCGUUGUCCGGAUUUAUUGGGCGUAAAGAGCUCGUAGGCGGUGUGUCACGUCGGCCGUGAAAACCUGCAGCUUAACUGUGGGCGUGCGGUCGAUACGGGCAUCACUGGAGUUCGGCAGGGGAGACUGGAAUUCCUGGUGUAGCGGUGAAAUGCGCAGAUAUCAGGAGGAACACCGGUGGCGAAGGCGGGUCUCUGGGCCGAUACUGACGCUGGAGGAAGCGAAAAGCCGUGGGGGAGCAAACAGG
rnacentral:rRNA from 1 species